AUGCUUUUAUUACUUAUAUUGUUUAUAGCAGAAAUGCUGCUCCCAGUACACCCCCAUGUAGGAAAUGUGGUGGCUGACAAAAGUCAGUGUCUACCUGGGCAGGAGCACCCAUGUGCAAGCCUGCACAUGCAGGCACAGCUCUGCGCUGCUAGGGUUGAUAUUUGGGAGCUGAGUCUGUCUUGUUUAUUUUCUCAACAGGCAGCAAACUGUAAGGAAUGUGUAAGGGACUACGAGAACGUUGCCCAUUCCUUGUGUUUCUACGUGAAAUGCAUUUCUAGCCACACCCAUAAAGAACUUGUCUCUCCUGACAGUACACAGUGGGUUUUAUGCCUUUUGAACUGGUUUGGCUGUGCUGUGUGGACGGCUCGUUUACCUCUACAGGAGAAGGAUGAACCUCCAAGAGAACCCAGCAGAAUACCUUUCAAAUAG
rnacentral:lncRNA from 1 species